AGAACGAACGCUGGCGGCAUGCCUAAUACAUGCAAGUCGAACGAACACUUCGGUGUUAGUGGCGCACGGGUGCGUAACGCGUGGGAAUCUGCCCUUGGGUUCGGAAUAACAGUUGGAAACGACUGCUAAUACCGGAUGAUAUCGAAAGAUCAAAGAUUUAUCGCCCAGGGAUGAGCCCGCGUAGGAUUAGCUAGUUGGUGAGGUAAAGGCUCACCAAGGCGACGAUCCUUAGCUGGUCUGAGAGGAUGAUCAGCCACACUGGGACUGAGACACGGCCCAGACUCCUACGGGAGGCAGCAGUAGGGAAUAUUGGACAAUGGGCGCAAGCCUGAUCCAGCAAUGCCGCGUGAGUGAUGAAGGCCUUAGGGUUGUAAAGCUCUUUACCCGAGAUGAUAAUGACAGUAUCGGAAGAAUAACGCCCGGCUAACUCCGUGCCAGCAGCCGAC
rnacentral:rRNA from 1 species